rnacentral:rRNA from 1 species
UAAUACGGAGGGUGCGAGCGUUGUCCGGAAUCACUGGGCGUAAAGGGCGCGUAGGUGGCGGGUCAAGCGUGCGGUGAAAGCUCGGGGCUCAACCCCGAGUCGGCCGUGCGAACUGGCCUGCUGGAGCACUGUAGAGGCAGAUGGAAUUCCGGGUGUAGCGGUGGAAUGCGUAGAGAUCCGGAAGAACACCGGUGGCGAAGGCGGUCUGCUGGGCAGUUGCUGACACUGAGGCGCGACAGCGUGGGGAGCAAACAGGAUUAGAUACCCUGGUAGUCCACGCCGUAAACGAUGGGCACUAGAUGCUUGGGGGAGCGACCCCUUGAGUGUCGGCGCUAACGCAUUAAGUGCCCCGCCUGGGGAGUACGGCCGCAAGGCUG